AGGUAAAUCCGCUUUGAUAAUUCUGGGUUGUGAUGGGGAGCGAAUUUUAGUAGCUAAGCAGCUGAUUUCACACUGUCAAUACAAGUCCCUAUCGAGCCUUAAGGUACUCGUACUGCUAACCCACACAGGCGGCUGAGGAGAGUAUCCUAAGGCCCGCGAGAGAACUGUUGUUAAGGAACUCGGCAAACUGAACCCGUAACU
rnacentral:rRNA from 1 species